rnacentral:rRNA from 1 species
UCAGUUCAGACUGCAGGCUGCAACUCGCCUGCACGAAGUCGGAAUUGCUAGUAAUCGUAGGUCAGCAUACUACGGUGAAUACGUUCCCGGGCCUUGUACACACCGCCCGUCAAACCAUGAGAGUUGGCAACACCCGAAGUCGGUAGUCUAACCGCAAGGAGGACGCCGCCGAAGGUGGGGUUGAUGAUUAGGGUUAAGUCGUAACAAGGUAAC